GCUUGCUAAUGGAUUUUCUUGUUUCACUUAGUGGCGGACGGGUGAGUAACGCGUGAGGAACCUGCCCUUCAGAGGGGGACAACAGUUGGAAACGACUGCUAAUACCGCAUGACGUACAUUUGGGACAUCCCUUAUGUACCAAAGGAGCAAUCCGCUGAAGGAUGGCCUCGCGUCCGAUUAGAUAGUUGGUGGGGUAACGGCCCACCAAGUCGACGAUCGGUAGCCGGACUGAGAGGUUGAACGGCCACAUUGGGGCUGAGACACGGCCCAGACUCCUACGGGAGGCAGCAGUGGGGGAUAUUGCACAAUGGGGGAAACCCUGAUGCAGCAACGCCGCGUGAAGGAAGAAGGUCUUCGGAUUGUAAACUUCUGUUUUUAGUGAAGAAACAAAUGACGGUAGCUAAAGAGGAAGCCACGGCUAACUACGUGCCAGCAGCCGCGGUAAUACGUAGGUGGCAAGCGUUGUCCGGAUUUACUGGGUGUAAAGGGUGCGCAGGCGGGACUGCAAGUUGGAUGUGAAAUACCGGAGCUCAACUCCGGAACUGCAUCCAAAACUGUAGUUCUUGAGUGGAGUAGAGGUAAGCGGAAUUCCGAGUGUAGCGGUGAAAUGCGUAGAUAUUCGGAGGAACACCAGUGGCGAAGGCGGCUUACUGGGCUCUAACUGACGCUGAGGCACGAAAGUGUGGGUAGCAAACAGGAU
rnacentral:rRNA from 1 species